UACGUAGGGCGCAAGCGUUGUCCGGAAUUAUUGGGCGUAAGAGCUCGUAGGCGGUCUGUCACGUCGGAUGUGAAAGCCCGGGGCUUAACCCCGGGUCUGCAUUCGAUACGGGCAGACUAGAGUGUGGUAGGGGAGAUCGGAAUUCCUGGUGUAGCGGUGAAAUGCGCAGAUAUCAGGAGGAACACCGGUGGCGAAGGCGGAUCUCUGGGCCAUUACUGACGCUGAGGAGCGAAAGCGUGGGGAGCGAACAGG
rnacentral:rRNA from 1 species